AAUCAAUCCUUUCCUUUCCUAAUCAACACAGAAGCCAUUUUGAGAAUUCGCCAGCCACUUCAGUCAAACAAACACUCGCCAUAGUGGCUACGAGUGUCCUAUCAACUUGUGCUUUUCAGGAAAUUUAGAGAACACCCCUGGCUAUCAUCCGUGAAGUUUAUAGCUCAUAUAGCCAAAUACUUUUGCUUAAAACGACCUCGGAAAUCGGCGAGAUUCUGGCGCAAUUUAAUUGUUGAAGGGAAACAAAAAGCAGAGACAAGACCGUUUUUGCAAUCAACGUUACAGUUUUUUUUAAAUCUGGGGAUGGAUGGCUGAGUUGGACACGUUCUGGAUCCACACGACCUGUGAGUAUUCUCACUACUUUGCUCUCAAGAAAUUGCAGUACAAUCUGAAUUACUUUUUGGAUGAACUGGGUGUCUACCAGUGUUACACCACUAGUUCUCAGUAGUAAUAACACUCCAUUUCAUGUCUCUCAGUAGAUGAAGCCAGCUGCAACCCGUAGAGUGGAGUCGUGGAGAGAGCCCCUCGCCCCUCAGCUAAACCAGAGUAAAUGAAGCCAGCACCAACCUGUGGAGUGGAGUCCAGGAGAGAGCAUGCCGCCCCUCAGCUAAACCAGAUCAGAUAAAGCCAACUGGAACCAUAUUUUUACAUAUUUUAUAUUAAAUAUAUUGAAUAAAACUACAUAUGAUAAAGAAAGUGUUAUCUUAUCUUUUUUAUAUGCUAAACUUGAUUAAAUUGGUGAUUACAUGUUGAAGCUGUAGAAGAAUGAAAAAUGUAAGCUAAACAAAAUUGUUUUUAACUACAUAAUUAAAAUUCCUGCCUUUUACACAUGUUCACUUGGCGUUUAUAUAACAUCCAAAUGUCAUUUCUCAGCUUAAUUAUCAGGCAGGCUCAUAGACUUACAGCAAUGUAAUUUCUUCAGGAAGGCACAAGGCUAAGCUCUGCACAAUGAAUUGCAUCAGCAAGAACUUUCUGACUGUAGCUUACACUCCAAAUAGUAUGCCUUUGGCCAGCACAA